rnacentral:rRNA from 1 species
UACGUAGGGGGCUAGCGUUGUCCGGAAUCAUUGGGCGUAAAGAGCGUGUAGGCGGCCCGGUAAGUCGGUUGUGAAAGUCGGGGGCUCAACCCUCGGAUGCCGAUCGAUACUGGUCAGGCUAGAGUCCGGAAGAGGCGAGUGGAAUUCCUGGUGUAGCGGUGAAAUGCGCAGAUAUCAGGAAGAACACCGAUGGCGAAGGCAGUUCUCUGGGACGGUACUGA